GUCUAUGGCCAUACCACCCUGAGCACACCCAAUCUCAUCUGAUCUCAGAAGCUAAGCAGGAUCUGUCAUGGUUAGUACUUGGAGGGGAGACAUAAUUUCAAAGUAACAAUAUGUGAGUUAAAUGACAUAAAUA
ensembl:rRNA 5S_rRNA 5S ribosomal RNA